UACCACAAACUGAGUGGCUUAAACAACAGAAAUUUAUCGUCUCUCAGUUCUAGAGGCAAGAAGUCUGAGAUCAAGGUGUCAGCAGGGCUGGUUUCCUCUGAGGGCUGUGCGGGAAGGAUCUGUUCCAGGCCUCUCUGACUUGUAUGUGGCUGCCUUCUCCCGCCUUCACUUUGUCUUCUUUGUGCCAAGAACCCCAUGUGGGGCUGUGACAGGCAGAAGGAUGGCUCCUUGAAGAUACUCAUGUCCUAAUUCCCAGAACAUGUGAAUAUGCUACUUCAACAGCAAAAGGGACGUUGCAGAUGUAAAUUACGGACCUCGAGACCGGGAGAUUAUUCUGGAUUGUCUGGUGGACCCACUGUAAUCACAAGGUUCAUAUAAGGGAAAUAGGGAAGCAGGAGAGUCGGAGAAGGAGAUGGGAUGAUGGAGGCAGAGGUUGGAGUGAUGCAAUUGCUAGCUUUGAAGGUAGAGGAAGAGACCUUAAGCCAAGGAAUGUGGGUGGCUUCUAGAAGCUAAAAAAAGGCAAACAAACAAACAAACAACAACCCUGCAACAGAUUCUUCCCUAGACCCUCCAGAAGGAACACUGCCUUGCUAACACCUUGAUUUUAGCCCAGUAAAAUUCAUUUUGAACUUCUA
rnacentral:lncRNA from 1 species